UGGAGCAUAAGGACUGCCUUGGACUUGCAUCUAGUCCUUAAGUUUGUUUUAUUAUAUAGCAAGUAUAUUAGUAAUGACAUAAGCAAUGUUAUUAUUAUUAAUAUUACAUAAGCAAUGUGGAUUGACCUUUUUAUGAUACGCUGUACUAAUAAAGGAAAGCUUCGCUAAAUUUCUUUACUAGUUUUAAUUCAUUGACCGGUUUUCUAAUUCCCAAGACACCAGAGUCCGUUUUAUAGUUUCGUAAUUCCCCGAUUCCGGUUUAUCCUGUCGAAUUUCUGUUUCUUUUUUCUGUUCUUUUUCCCCCCGUACAUAUGAUUAAUAUUUAAUUAACAAUUAUUCGCCGAAGGCGAAGUGAUUACCGGUGAAUAUUCACCGAGACGAAGUCGAGGUGAAUAUUCACCGUAAUCACUGAGCAUGAGGCGAAUAAUUGUUUUAGUAUAAAUUUUUAAUGAAUAAAACAAAAUAUCCAAGUUAUCCAACUAUAAGUUUAAUUAAAAUUCAGAAAUAAAACUGUUUUCGACCGAUUUACGGUUUAGUGUUGCAGUGUUUCUUGUACACGCACGCUUUCAAAAUGGCUUCCUGUGCGACUUUAUUGCUUUAUUACAAAGUUAUUUUUCUCGAUUUCUGCUUAGAAUAUAAACACAA